UAUCUACUUGCACUUUUGACGUGCUUUCGAACUGCUAGAUUGGCAGGAGCAGGGACCAAGCAACAGGAGGGGAGCUGUUGAAAAUUUCAAAUAUCUGGACAUUUUGUCCAUUUUCUGAAAUACCCUCCAGAUGCUAAUUCCGUCAUUGGAAUCCCAGACCUGUCCGGGAAAAUCCGGACGUAUGGCAACCCUAGCAUACCCCUUAGGCAGGCUGAAGCAGCUGCCUCGGGCGGCAGAGGUGCAAGAGGCAGUGACCCACCCGCUCCUCUGCUUCCACCACAGCCAGAAGGCCCCUGUCUCAUUGAGUUCAAUGAGAGAGAGGCAAUCCUGUGUGCAGCAUUGCUGUUCGUCUUCCCUGAAGACAAGUGUGGCAAGGCCUUGCAGUGUGCCCUCUCUAAGCCUGCAGGAUGCCCCCAGAACAGAUGCCUUGCAGUGGGCUUUCCUACAUGGCAAGGAGAGCUGCUGCAUUGUUCAUGAGACCCAGAUUCGACUGUCCAUUGUGCACAAGAAAUUAGCCCUGUGGCUUUUUGAAUCCAGGCCAUCCUGCUUGUCUGCUCUUGAGUUUCAUUCAUGUCGGGAAGCCAGUGAAAAAAAGUGUGCUACCUUCCAUAGUAGCUAGUCAGCACGUGUCAGGAUUAGGCUUCAGAUGUGUACAAAGGUGUAAUAUUUGUGCUCUUCAUCACCCUCAGGGCAAUUUACAGUAUGGUUAUCCACUCCUUCCUAAGUGAUCUUAAGAGAGAGAGAGAGAGAGAACACCAUACUAACCCCAAACCAACAAGCUUCCUCCAAAAACAAAGGAUUCCCUUUUACCUCCGCCUCCCGCCACCAACUACCCUCUGAACACAUGACUUGAAGAGGGAGUGCAUAAUUUAUAGAUGAAGCCUUCAUUAUGUAGCAAUCUUUCCAACAAAUGUAGCAGUAUUACAUAUUUUCAUACAUUAAUCCCAGACCCAUCAACAUAAUCCAUAAAUAGCUUCCAUAUGUUUUUGAAUAAAUCUCCCCUGUUCUGUGUUUUAUAAAUCACACUCCCAGGAGGUGUAAUUUGAGUAAAGCUAGUUAUCCAUUCUGCCUCUGCCGAGGGAGCCCAGUCUUUCCAGAGUCUAGGAAUAAUUCCCUUUUCCACCAUUAAUCUGAUCCACAUCUUGGUUGCCUUCCUUGAAGAGAAGGUUCUUCUUAUCAGAAGGUGUUCCCUGUAAGAGAUGGGCUUGGAAUGGUCAUGAAGACAGCAUUUAGAGUGGUCAUCUUUUUCUUGACACCUUCCCAUGCUAUGCACAUUUGAGCACCAACAUCAGAAUCAUAAACAUCACCACCCUGAGUAGUUGCAAAUUAACCAGCACACACACACACACACACCCCUGCCUCCGCCAAGAGAAAAGGGCAGCUUCCAGGCUCCGUGCAUUCAUUCCCCAUAGCAUCCAAUGUAGGCUGUGUAAAAUAUUAAAACAUGCAUUUUUCAAUUCAUGCCUUUCUUUACUGCAUUAUAAAGAGGAAACCAGAUCUUUCUCACUGGCAUUUCGUGCAAUUUCCCCCAGUUCUCAAUUCCCCUGUGGCUGUUAAGUGUACUAAGGCACCACUAUUAACAUUUAUAAGAAAUGUAUUUAAGUCAUGAGUGAAGGUUGAAUUUGACCGCCCCCUCCCCCCGUAAUAUGAGGAGAAAACAGUAAAAUCAUAAAGCAUAUUGGAAUAUUGAAAACGCAGGCACAAAAUACAUGCAAUGCAAGAGAUCCAUGAUUGAAUCUUCCAAUUUUUCUGUUUUCAGUUAAUAAUAGGAUUCAGAAAUUGAGCAGAGCAGCAGUGGUGGGAGGAGAUGGGACUAUCGCUUUCCCGCAUGCUGGUUACUUGCUGUAGCCCAGGCUUCCUCAACCUCGGCCCUCCAGAUGUUUUUGGCCUACAACUCUCAUGAUCCAUAGCUAGCAGGACCAGUGGUCAGGGAAGAUGGGAAUUGUAGUCUCAAAACAUCUGGAGGGCCAAGGUUGAGGAAGCCUGCUGUAGCUUCUAAAGCUGCUGUUUGACCCAGUAGGGGUCAACUGGAAAUUAAGAGCAUUGGAGUGGGGCAAUUUAGAUCAGGGAAAUAGCAUGAGAGAAAGGGUUACACUCAUCCUCACCCAGUAUCCCUAGCUUGACCUCAUUUGGGGAGGGGUGUGGCUCAAGGCUCCUUUUCAUUAAACUUGGAAACAUUGGAAGAUCCCACCAUGCACCUCCUUCAUUUUGCACAGUUUGGUCCACUUGCCUGUUGCCUCCCCUUCCCAAAAAGAAAGAAAGAUGCUUCUCAUAUGAGCUAUCAGGAUGAAAAGCAGCCCAGAGCUCAGGUUGCAACUGGGUGUGGCUUAUCAGGCUCUCUUAAGCCUCUGCUCUCCCCCUGCCCCUCAGUCUUUCUUUGUGCUGCCACAGCGCCCUGCAACUGAAUAACUCCAAAAGGAGCUUUUCUAGCCUGUAUCUUUGCUAACUCAAAGAUUGUGUUAUCCUUUCAUAAGGAAACAUUGUACUUUACCUUUUAAGUUGUUUGGAACCUUUUUCAUUUUUGUUUUACUGCCAACAGAUGUUGACUUGUUUGCUCUAACUUAUGGAGACUCUGUGAGUAAAACACUCACUUGUUUGCAAAGCUAAGUGUCUGUGAUUUAUUCUAGCCUAAGCAUGGGGAACAUUUGUUUAAAGGUGGGUGAGGGCAGAUGCAUAUCUAACUAGUUUUAAUGUGAUUGAAGCAAUCGCAAUUGUGCUACCUCUGCUACUGGACAGUUGGAAUCUUUCUCCCAACAGUAAGUUUCUUGCUGCUUGCACCAGUGAAAGACACUGCUAAAUCAUUUCCCCUCCCUUCUAUCUUGUAGCACAUGCAGGGCAUUCCCCAUAGCAAGAGGUUUUGAGAACAAGUGACAAUUCUGUUUGAUAUUGCAGAUUGCACAUUAAGUACUUUGUUAAAUACACAUUAAGAUCUUGAUCCCAGUCUACAUCUGUAUUAGAACAAUUUUUAACCAUUUUUAUAUUUGGAAAUAUUUUUAAAUGUGUACAUAUACAGAACACUUUUUGAUUGUCCUUACACUUUUCCUGUUUUAUGGUAACUGUUCUGUUUGUUUUAUAAUUGUAUAUGUUAUUGUUGUGACCUGUCCUGGGGCUUUAUGGUAAAUCUAAUAAAUACUACAGAUGCAUAUUGCU